AGAGUUUGAUCCCAGCUCAGAACGAACGCUGGCGGCAUGGAUUAGGCAUGCAAGUCGAACGGUCUUACUUUUGUAAGAUAGUGGCAAAAGGGUGAGUAACACGUAAGUAAUCUACCUUUAAGUUGGGAAUAACUUUUCGAAAGAAAAAUUAAUACCGAAUGUGAUUAGUUAUACAAAAGUAUAAUUAAUUAAAGAUUUAUCGCUUAAAGAUGAGCUUGCGUCUCAUUAUGUUAGUUGGUAAGGUAAAUGCUUACCAAGACUAUGAUGGGUAGGUGGCCUGAGAGGGUGGCCAUCCACACUGAGACUGAGAACUGCCCAGACUUCUACGGAAGGCUGCAGUCGAGAAUCUUCCGCAAUGGGCGAAAGCCUGACGGAGCAAUGCCGCGUAUAGGAAUAAGGUCUUAGGAUUGUAAACUAUUGUCACUGGGGACGAAAAAAAUGACUGUACCCAGGGAGGAAGUCACGGCUAACUACGUGCCAGCAGCCGCGGUAAUACGUAGGUGGCAAGCGUUGUUCGGAAUUAUUGGGCGUAAAGAGUUUGUAGGGGGAUUAUUAAGUUUGAUGUAAAAUCCUGAAGCUUAACUUCAGAACUGUGUCAAAAACUGAUAAUCUAGAGUCUCAAAGAGGAGAGUGGAAUUCCUGGUGUAACGGUGGAAUGUAUAGAUAUCAGGAGGAAGACCAAGAGCGUAGGCAACUCUCUAGGUGAGUACUGACCCUGAGAAAACGAAAGCGUGGGUAGCAAACAGGAUUAGAUACCCUGGUAGUCCACGCCGUAAAUGAUGUAUGCUUGGUUUUGGGAGAUUCAAUCCUUUCAGAAUCGUAGCUAACGCGUUAAGCAUACCGCCUGGGGAGUACGGCCGCAAGGCUAAAACUCAAAGGAAUUGACGGGGGCCUGCACAAGCGGUGGAACAUGUGGCUUAAUUCGAGACAACGCGAAGAACCUUACCCAGGUUUGACAUGUAUCUGAAGUAUUGUGAAAGCAAUAUGCUCGUGAGAGCAGGUACACAGGUGUUGCAUGGCUGUCGUCAGUUCGUGUCGUGAGAUGUUCGGUUAAGUUCGAUAACGAGCGUAACCCAUGUCGUUAGUUGCUAUCAGGUUAUGCUGAGGACUCUAACGAGACUGCCUGUGUUAAGCAGGAGGAAGGUAUGGAUGACGUCAAGUCAGUAUGAUCUUUAUAUCUGGGGCUGCACACGUGUUACAAUGGUUAAUACAAUAGGAUGCAAUAUCGUGAGAUGGAGCAAAUCCACAAAAUUAAUCUUAGUUCGGAUUAUAGUCUGCAACUCGACUAUAUGAAGUAGGAAUCGCUAGUAAAGGCGUAACAGCAUGACGCCUUGAAUACGUUCUCAGGCCUUGUACACACCGCCCGUCGCAUCAUGGGAGUUGAUUGCACCAGAAAUUGUUUGUUCAACUUUUUUCGGAAAGAGAAGGACACUUAAGGUGUGAUUAGCGACUGGGAUGAAGUCGUAACAAGGUA
rnacentral:rRNA from 1 species